GACGAACCGUGCGAACGUUGUUCGGAAUCACUGGGCUUAAAGGGCGCGUAGGCGGGCUGCCAAGUCUGGGGUGAAAUCCCACGGCUCAACCGUGGAACGGCCUCAGAUACUGGCGGCCUCGAGGGAGGUAGGGGCGUGCGGAACUGUGCGUGGAGCGGUGAAAUGCGUUGAUAUGCACAGGAACUCCGGUGGCGAAGGCGGCGCGCUGGACCUCUUCUGACGCUGAGGCGCGAAAGCUAGGGGAGCAAACGGG
rnacentral:rRNA from 1 species